UCGAACGAGACCUUCGGGUCUAGUGGCGCACGGGUGCCUAACGCGUGGGAAUCUGCCCUUGGGUUCGGAAUAACAGUUAGAAUGACUGCUAAUACCGGAUGAUGACUUCGGUCCAAAGAUUUAUCGCCCAGGGAUGAGCCCGCGUCGGAUUAGCUAGUUGGUAGGGUAAAGGCCUACCAAGGCGACGAUCCGUAGCUGGUCUGAGAGGAUGAUCAGCCACACUGGGACUGAGACACGGCCCAGACUCCUACGGGAGGCAGCAGUGGGGAAUAUUGGACAAUGGGCGAAAGCCUGAUCCAGCAAUGCCGCGUGAGUGAUGAAGGCCUUAGGGUUGUAAAGCUCUUUUACCCGGGAUGAUAAUGACAGUACCGGGAGAAUAAGCCCCGGCUAACUCCGUGCCAGCAGCCGCGGUAAUACGGAGGGGGCUAGCGUUGUUCGGAAUUACUGGGCGUAAAGCGCGCGUAGGCGGCUUUGCAAGUUAGAGGUGAAAGCCCGGAGCUCAACUCCGGAACUGCCUUUAAACUGCAUCGCUAGAACGAUGGAGAGGUAAGUGGAAUUNCCGAGUGUAGAGGUGAAUUCGUAGAUAUUCGNAAAACACCAGUGGCGAAGGCGACUUACUGGACAUCUGUUGACGCUGAGGUGCGAANCGUGGGAGCAACAGGAUNAGAUACCCUGGUAGUCCCCCCGUAAAC
rnacentral:rRNA from 1 species